GGGAAGGUGGCUCAGUGGAAGAGCACUUGCCUUGCAUGCAUGAGGCCCUGGGUUCGAUUCCUCAGCCCCA
rnacentral:tRNA from 1 species